GCAGCUUAGCGGCGGAGCCGAGGCAGGACCCUCUGCCUCUUCACCACCAGCUGACGGUCCCCUCGGGAAGCCGUGUAAGGACAACUUGAGAUGCUCCUACAGCUAACUGUCUUCUGCCCGCCCCGAUCUGUCACUACCUGGAGGAAGGCAACCUCGUGCUUUCGGAGAGCUCCCCGAGGAGCACCUGCAAAACCCCAGUAGUCCUCCAGUGAUGGCAAUCCUAAUCAUCAAAGACCAAAUGGUAUAUUUGUGCUGGUAGGCGACUGAGGGGUUAAUGCAGAAACGCGUUACACCUUGACAGUGCAAAUCUGUUCCAAAAGAAAACGUGAUGUUCAGCGGUAGUUUAAUGAAUUGUUUUGACCAAGUGAAAUACACCAUGUCUACUCCUAGUAAUGAGACACUUGGCAGAAAGUAUCACAUCACACGAACAAUAGCAGCAGACCGUCAUUAUGGUCCACAAAAUGCUGUAACCUCUGAGCAAUCUCUCUUCAAACAAUGGAGGGGACGAUAAGGUCCUGAGAAAACUCACAGAGAGGCUGCCAAGCUAUCAUGAUACAGUGACGUGGACAUAUGUCCAAAACAGCUCCCAUGCAUACUGCUUUGCUGCAUUGCAUAAUAAUUGGAAUGGAUGCGUACUUCUGAUACACAGAAGCUCUUGUUCUGUUGCUUCAAGGAACAAAACCAGGACAAACUACCGCAAGAAGAGUGGCAACAGAAAGACUGAAUUAUGAGAAAUAAAGGCAGAUCACUUCUGGUCAAGGAGCAAACAAAUAUAAUAAAAAUCCAUGACGCACUCAUUUUUGCGUUAAAUCACUGCAGGAUCAUUACAUUUUGGGUAAUUUUACAUAUAUAUACACACACAUAUAUAACUAAAAUUAUAGCAAUAUAUGAUAAGAACUGCUUCAUGGCCUGUCUUGUAGUUCACCAUUGAGGGUUUUAACUGCUUCACUGUACAGCAAUAGCAACUCACAAACAGGAUGUGAUAAUGUGUACCAUAAUCAGGGAGGAAUUUUCCCCAGGAAUUGUCCCCAGACGGUCUGUGGAAAGUUACUACUUGGAACAAGAGCUAAUAUAUAAGCAUGACAUUACCUUUUCUGCCUCAUUGCCCUCUGUAUUCUAAUAAAACAAAAUGAC